GCCCGCACAAGCGGUGGAGCAUGUGGUUUAAUUCGAUGCAACGCGAAGAACCUUACCUACUCUUGACAUCCANGGAACUUAGCAGAGAUGCUUUGGUGCCUUCGGGAACUNUGAGACAGGUGCUGCAUGGCUGUCGUCAGCUCGUGUUGUGAAAUGUUGGGUUAAGUCCCGCAACGAGCGCAACCCUUAUCCUUUGUUGCCAGCGGUCCGGCCGGGAACUCAAAGGAGACUGCCAGUGAUAAACUGGAGGAAGGUGGGGAUGACGUCAAGUCAUCAUGGCCCUUACGAGUAGGGCUACACACGUGCUACAAUGGCAUAUACAAAGAGAAGCGACCUCGCGAGAGCAAGCGGACCUCAUAAAGUAUGUCGUAGUCCGGAUUGGAGUCUGCAACUCGACUCCAUGAAGUCGGAAUCGCUAGUAAUCGUGGAUCAGAAUGCCACGGUGAAUACGUUCCCGGGCCUUGUACACACCGCCCGUCACACCAUGGGAGUGGGUUGCAAAAGAAGUAGGUAGCUUAACCUUCGGGAGGGCGCUA
rnacentral:rRNA from 1 species